rnacentral:rRNA from 1 species
UGGGGAAUAUUGGCACAAUGGGCGCAAGCCUGAUGCCAGCCAUGCCGCGUGUGUGAAGAAGGCCUUCGGGUUGUAAAGCACUUUCAGCGAGGAGGAAGGUGGUGGACUUAAUACGUUCAUCAAUUGACGUUACUCGCAGAAGAAGCACCGGCUAACUCCGUGCCAGCAGCCGCGGUAAUACGGAGGGUGCAAGCGUUAAUCGGAAUUACUGGGCGUAAAGCGCACGCAGGCGGUUUGUUAAGUCAGAUGUGAAAUCCCCGGGCUCAACCUGGGAACUGCAUUUGAAACUGGCAAGCUAGAGUCUCGUAGAGGGGGGUAGAAUUCCAGGUGUAGCGGUGAAAUGCGUAGAGAUCUGGAGGAAUACCGGUGGCGAAGGCGGCCCCCUGGACGAAGACUGACGCUCAGGUGCGAAAGCGUGGGGAGCAAACAGAUUAGNUACCCUGGUAG